CCUACGGGUGGCAGCAGUAGGGAAUUUUCCACAAUGGGCGAAAGCCUGAUGGAGCAACGCCGCGUGCAGGAUGAAUGCCUUAGGGUUGUAAACUGCUUUUAUAUGUGACGAAUAUGACGGUAGCAUAUGAAUAAGGAUCGGCUAACUCCGUGCCAGCAGCCGCGGUCAUACGGAGGAUCCAAGCGUUAUCCGGAAUUACUGGGCGUAAAGAGUUGCGUAGGUGGCAUAGUAAGUAGAUAGUGAAAGCGUGUGGCUCAACCAUACUCACAUUAUCUAAACUGCUGAGCUAGAGGAUGAGAGAGGUUAUUGGAAUUCCCAGUGUAGGAGUGAAAUCCGUAGAUAUUGGGAGGAACACCGAUGGCGUAGGCAGAUAACUGGCUCAUUCCUGACACUAAGGCACGAAAGCGUGGGGAGCAAACGGGAUUAGAUACCCUAGUAGUCC
rnacentral:rRNA from 1 species